GAGACAGCUGCUUUUGUGACUCUGACUUUCACCUGAGUCAUUCCCUGGGCAAGGGGCCUGGAGCAGAAGGUGGGAGUGGCUCCCCAGAAACGCAGCUGCAGGUAGACCAGGACUACCUGAUUGCUCUGUCCCUGCAGCAGCAACAGCCACGAGGCCCGCUGGGGCUUACCGACUUGGAGCUGGCCCAGCAGCUUCAGCAAGAGGAGUAUCAACAGCAGCAGGCAGCGCAGCCAGUGCGGAUGCGGACGCGGGUCCUGUCACUGCAGGGGAGAGGAGCCACAUCUGGACGCCCAGCCGGGGAGCGUCGGCAGAGGCCGAAGCACGAGUCAGACUGCAUUCUGCUGUAGCUCUGCCCCAGUGCCAGGCUGGCCUGCCCCUUCUUCCAGAGGCUAUGGCUAGUUGGCUUGCUCCCCCGCCUCCACCCCUGAGAUGUGCUGGAUAACUUAUUUAUGGACUGUUGGGGAUGAGAGCAGGCAACAAAUGCCAAGGUCAGACUUGGUAAUGUCCUUGACCUCACGUGCUGCUGCCUUCUCUGCCUCCCAUCCAGGGCAACACUAGGAUUGGUGGGUUUCUGGUUCUCAACUCCCGGUCCCUGAAUAGUCACACGUAUGUACAGACUGAGGCUCUGGGGUGAGGUCCCUAUCCAGAAUGCAUCUCUUCUGCUUCCCAUCCCUGCUGCCUGGAUGCUCCUGAUCACCUAGGCAGGCCUGUCUCCAGUUGUUUCAGAGCUUAAUUUGGGUUUCUAUCUCUUAUUUGUAAUGCCUUCCUGGGGUUUGGAAAUAAAACUUCUGGC
rnacentral:lncRNA from 10 species